UACGGGGGGGGCAAGCGUUGUUCGGAAUUACUGGGCGUAAAGGGCUCGUAGGCGGCCAACUAAGUCAGACGUGAAAUCCCUCGGCUUAACCGGGGAACUGCGUCUGAUACUGGAUGGCUAGAGUUUGGGAGAGGGAUGCGGAAUUCCAGGUGUAGCGGUGAAAUGCGUAGAUAUCUGGAGGAACACCGGUGGCGAAGGCGACAUCCUGGACCAACACUGACGCUGAGGAGCGAAAGCCAGGGGAGCAAACGGG
rnacentral:rRNA from 1 species